AUUGAACGCUGGCGGCAGGCCUAACACAUGCAAGUCGAACGAGUGGCGGACGGGUGAGUAAUGUCUGGGAAACUGCCCGAUGGAGGGGGAUAACUACUGGAAACGGUAGAUAAUAACGCAUACCCUGCGAUGUGCCCAGGUGGGAUUAGCUAGUAGGUGGGGUAAUGGCUCAACUAGGCGACGGUCCCUAGCUGGUCUGCGAGGAUGACCGGCCACACUGGAACUGAGACACGGUCCAGACUCCUACGGGAGGCAGCAGUGGGGAAUAUUGCACAAUGGGCGAAAGCCUGAUGCAGCCAUGCCGCGUGUAUGAAGAAGGCCUUCGGGUUGUAAAGUACUUUCAGCGAGGAGGCGUUACUCGCAGAAGAAGCACCGGCUAACUCCGUGCCAGCCGCCGCGGUAAUUC
rnacentral:rRNA from 1 species